rnacentral:miRNA from 13 species
CUUUAUCACUUUUCCAGCCCAGC